rnacentral:lncRNA from 1 species
CUUUGUUUUACAAACAUAUAAAUUAUUUUAUUUACAAAGCCAUGUUACAAAAAAAAAAAAAGCAAAAAAAAAAAAAAAAUACAAUUGCUUACUGGAGAAUAUUUCCAGGCCUGGUGAGGAACCAUGGCAGUAUCAAUAGAUACAUGUUUGUUCUUUCCUUUUAAAACUGUAAGCCAUAGAAUUUACUAUUUACACCUACUUUAGACAUUUAUUCUUGUUACAAAAUAUGGAUUGUAGAAAAGAAACCCACUCCACAAGUGUGGCAUUUGUUUAGAAUGAUCGGACAUGCUUUCUUCAAAAUUUUUCUGGAAAAGGUUCUAAAAUUGGUAGUAGGAAAGGACAAAUGAGCAGGUGCAAAUUCUUGUCUGUGCAACAACAGUUAUUUAAUAUACCCCAUGACUGACCAGCUACGUAAAACCCACAGAGUUUUGUUAAAGUGCCAUGGGCCGACAGCAUAACAAAAUAUAAGGUGUAAAUAGAAAAUUUCUUUUUUUCCUUUUUUAAAACAAGAGUUCACUGAGAAUCAGCAAUAAUAGAAUAUGCUGUAUAAACUAUUCUCUACAAAGGUUGAUCAGCAUUAUUUACAAUUGGUACAUUGAUACAAAAGAAGGCAUACAAGUUAUCCAAGUCGCUUUUUUUUUUUUUUUUUUUUUUUUAUGGCUGACAGGUCUAUGCAUUGCGUUAUGCUUCACAACCAGAGCUUUCGAGCCUCUAUGGCUGGCGACAAGUCAGGAGAUCUUCAG